rnacentral:rRNA from 1 species
GACGAACGCUGGCGGCGUGCUUAACACAUGCAAGUCGAACGGGAUCCGGGCUUUCGGGUUUGGUGAGAGUGGCGAACGGGUGAGUAACACGUGAGUAACCUGCCCCCUUCUUUGGGAUAACGUCGGGAAAUCGGCGCUAAUACUGGAUAUUCUUGCUGCAUCGCAUGGUGUGGUUUGGAAAGGGUUUCUGGUGGGGGAUGGGCUCGCGGCCUAUCAGCUUGUUGGUGGGGUGAUGGCCUACCAAGGCUUUGACGGGUAGCCGGCCUGAGAGGGUGUCCGGCCACACUGGGACUGGGACACGGCCCAGACUCCUACGGGAGGCAGCAGUGGGGAAUAUUGCACAAUGGGCGCGAGCCUGAUGCAGCGACGCCGCGUGAGGGAUGACGGCCUUCGGGUUGUAAACCUCUUUCAGUAUGGAACAAGGAUCCUUCUUUUGGGGGGUUUGAGGGUACGUGCAGAAGAAGCGCCGGCUAACUACGUG